AUUGAACGCUGGCGGCAUGCCUUACACAUGCAAGUCGAACGGCAGCACGGGAGCAAUCCUGGUGGCGAGUGGCGAACGGGUGAGUAAAGUAUCGGAACGUGCCCAGUCGUGGGGGAUAACGUAGCGAAAGUUACGCUAAUACCGCAUACGACCUAUGGAUGAAAGCGGGGGCUCGUAAGACCUCGCGCGAUUGGAGCGGCCGAUAUCAGAUUAGGUAGUUGGUGGGGUAAAGGCUCACCAAGCCGACGAUCUGUAGCUGGUCUGAGAGGACGACCAGCCACACUGGGACUGAGACACGGCCCAGACUCCUACGGGAGGUAGCAGUGGGGAAUUUUGGACAAUGGGCGAAAGCCUGAUCCAGCCAUGCCGCGUGCAGGAUGAAGGCCUUCGGGUUGUAAACUGCUUUUGUACGGAACGAAAAGGUUUGGGCUAAUAAGCUGAGCUCAUGACGGUACCGUAAGAAUAAGCACCGGCUAACUACGUGUCAGCCGCCGCUGUAA
rnacentral:rRNA from 1 species